AUUUUCCUUUAAUGCUUUUUUUCCCCCUUUAUUGACAAGACUGCCAAGUUCACAGAAGAAUCAAUAGCCAAGGAUAUUCACAUAGGAUAAGAUUUACAAAGCAUGUUUCACAGACAGUAACAACUGGGACCUCGGAGCACUUACUGGAACCAACAAAAUGACAACUGAUAUGUCCUCCAGUGAAUCUAUGUUAAGACGUUCUGUCUGCAGUAAUUAAAAACUAGGGAGCGUGGAGAACAAAGGAAAACUGCAGUGGAAGGAAAGAUGUACAAGCUUGAGAACAGGAAUCAGGAGUGAAUGAGGAAAGGUUAUAAGAAUGUCCUGCUGAACCCAGAACCAUGGGAUACAUUAGGCAAAGUCUUGGAUGUGAAAACCCUUGAUUUUUUUAUUGCACAAUUUUUUUAUGGUCUCAGGAAAUCAUUUUGAAAAUCAUGUAGAGCAAAGAGAACAUAGAAAUAAAUUAUUCCUGCAAUAGGGUUAAACUUGGAAA
rnacentral:lncRNA from 1 species